UAUUCUGCCCUACAGGGAAGGAUGAGAAGCUUCGACUAAGGUUCGACUAAGGUUCGACUAAGGUUCGACUAAGGUUCGACUCGAGCGAAGCGAGAGAACGUUGCCGCAGGCAACGGCCCGAAGGGCGAGGAGCUUUAGCGCCGAGUAAUCCUUCCCCCACCACCA
rnacentral:sRNA from 2 species